rnacentral:tRNA from 1 species
AAGAUUUUAAGUUAAUUUUAAACUAUUAAUUUUCAAAAUUAAAAAUAUAUCAUAAAUUAUAAAUCUUA